GCCUGGGUGGCUUAGUUGGUAGAGCAUGCAGCUCUUGACCCCAGGGUUGUGAGUUCAAGCCCCACAUUGGGUG
rnacentral:tRNA from 1 species